rnacentral:rRNA from 1 species
AGUGGCGGACGGGUGAGUAACGCGUGGGAACAUACCCAAAGGUACGGAAUAGCCUCGGGAAACUGAGAGUAAUACCGUAUGUGCCCUUCGGGGGAAAGAUUUAUCGCCUUUGGAUUGGCCCGCGUUGGAUUAGGUAGUUGGUGGGGUAAUGGCCUACCAAGCCGACGAUCCAUAGCUGGUUUGAGAGGAUGAUCAGCCACACUGGGACUGAGACACGGCCCAGACUCCUACGGGAGGCAGCAGUGGGGAAUCUUAGACAAUGGGGGAAACCCUGAUCUAGCCAUGCCGCGUGAUCGAUGAAGGCCUUAGGGUUGUAAAGAUCUUUCAGAUGGGAAGAUAAUGACGGUACCAUCAGAAGAAGCCCCGGCUAACUCCGUGCCAGCAGCCGCGGUGAUACGUAGGGUCCGAGCGUUGUUCGGAAUUAUUGGGCGUAAAGGGCUCGUAGGCGGUCUGUCGCGUCGGGAGUGAAAACUCAGGGCUUAACCCUGAGCCUGCUUCCGAUACGGGCAGACUAGAGGUAUGCAGGGGAGAACGGAAUUCCUGGUGUAGCGGUGGAAUGCGCAGAUAUCAGGAGGAACACCGAUGGCGAAGGCAGGUCUCUGGGCAUUAACUGACGCUGAGGAGCGAAAGCAUGGGGAGCGAACAGGAUUAGAUACCCUGGUAGUCCAUGCCGUAAACGUUGGGCACUAGGUGUGGGGGACAUUCCACGUUUUCCGCGCCGUAGCUAACGCAUUAAGUGCCCCGCCUGGGGAGUACGGCCGCAAGGCUAAAACUCAAAUGAA